rnacentral:rRNA from 1 species
UACGUAGGGCGCAAGCGUUGUCCGGAAUCAUUGGGCGUAAAGAGCUUGUAGGUGGCUCGUUGCGUCGGGAGUGAAAACCUGCGGCUUAACCGCAGGCCUGCUUCCGAUACGGGCGAGCUAGAGUUCGGCAGGGGAGACUGGAAUUCCUGGUGUAGCGGUGGAAUGCGCAGAUAUCAGGAGGAACACCGGUGGCGAAGGCGGGUCUCUGGGCCGAUACUGACACUGAGAAGCGAAAGCGUGGGGAGCGAACAGG